CAAUUACUACCAGCUGCAGAGUUAUUGCCGUUUGUUUUUACUCCAAGCGGCGAGGUCAAGGAUGUCGACGAGAGCUGCCGCUAUGUCUGACUGGCUGUUUGAAUAGGUGCUAUUUGAUACCCCGACCCCCCCCCCCCCUUCCCUCUUUACUCCCAGCUCGGAGAAAUCGAAGGAGGGAGAGAAAUUCAGGAAAAACGUUCCACGGAAGAGAGAGAGCAAAAAAAAAAAAGUGCAAUCUGAAGAAGAGGAUGCAAACACUUUGGAUUGACAACGCUGAGAGAAAAGAAAAGAUCAACAAGGUUGUUUUGCAACUUCACCAGACGGCAGAAUUCAGUGAAAGGAAUCCGAGCAACAAUCUAAUCCGCUUCGUAAAAGACAAUCCAUAGCCCGAGGUUAAAAAUACAUCAGCAGAAGGAGCCACCAAACAAAACAUUUCCAUUGGCAUCCGUUUUGGACCACGUGACCCGUCUGGGGCCCGCUGCCAUGUCUGCGACUGCCCAGUCUGGGAACCGACUCAGCCAACAAGCUCCGGCCAGGCCCCCCCACCUCGACGCUUUCACUUACAGAAUCAACGUGGUGACGUUGGACGCGCACGGACCCAAGUCAGUUCCACUCCUGGAGGCCAGAUGGGAACGGCGUCCUAUCACGAAAGGCUGAGAUAAAACCCCGAGUAGCUCCGACACUUCCACUUCCAGGCUGGCGUGGACGGCGAGAUAACACGGCAUAUGCAAGCCGUGGCCUGCGUCUUCUGCGACAACACGCUACUCGCCACGCUUAUCAGCAGCUGAAAAGAUUUUGGAGAGCAUCCACACGGAUUGCUUCCUCAUGGCCUCCUCUUCCGACGCCGCUUUCAACUCCAGCAACAUCAGAGGGACGGCAGCCGCUUUCAUAUCUCCCUACACACGGCGCUGGUGUGUUCCUCUGCCCAGACCGCCUCUGAGUUCUGGUAAACAAGGCGGUAGUCACGUCGCAGCGGGACCUCCUUACCCCGCUGAGAGCCUCCAAAACGUCGGGACCCCCCACCUUCACACGCUCUCCUGCUCUCCCCUGGCUUUUAACCCUCCCGCCGCCUCGGAUCAGCGGUAGGUCCCGGCAGUGAUAAAGAAAACACAGCUGCUCAAACAGUUGGACGGAACACGGCGGGGGUGGUCGGAUGGAGGGGGGGGGUCACGUCAACAUAUUUAAAUCGAUGAUCUGUGCACAUCAAUGGACCACCUGAGAAGCAAAAAAAAUCUUUCAAACCAGAAUUUUGCUUUGUUAACCUUUGCUUUCAAGGCAACAAACUUUAAUUAAGAUUUUAGGGCAAUUUAAAUAUAUAUAGGUGUUGAGGUGAGAAAUGUGUCAUCACCC